rnacentral:rRNA from 1 species
AGAGUUUGAUCCUGGCUCAGGACGAACGCUGGCGGCGCGCCUAACACAUGCAAGUCGAACGAAGUCAAGAGGAGCUUGCUCUUUUUGACUUAGUGGCGAACGGGUGAGUAACGCGUGAGGAACCUGCCUCAAAGAGGGGGACAACAGUUGGAAACGACUGCUAAUACCGCAUAAGCCCACAGCUCCGCAUGGAGCAGAGGGAAAAGGAGCAAUCCGCUUUGAGAUGGCCUCGCGUCCGAUUAGCUAGUUGGUGAGGUAACGGCCCACCAAGGCGACGAUCGGUAGCCGGACUGAGAGGUUGAUCGGCCACAUUGGGACUGAGACACGGCCCAGACUCCUACGGGAGGCAGCAGUGGGGAAUAUUGCACAAUGGGGGAAACCCUGAUGCAGCGACGCCGCGUGGAGGAAGAAGGUCUUCGGAUUGUAAACUCCUGUUGUUGGGGAAGAUAAUGACGGUACCCAACAAGGAAGUGACGGCUAACUACGUGCCAGCAGCCGCGGUAAAACGUAGGUCACAAGCGUUGUCCGGAAUUACUGGGUGUAAAGGGAGCGCAGGCGGGAAGACAAGUUGGAAGUGAAAUCUAUGGGCUCAACCCAUAAACUGCUUUCAAAACUGUUUUUCUUGAGUAGUGCAGAGGUAGGCGGAAUUCCCGGUGUAGCGGUGGAAUGCGUAGAUAUCGGGAGGAACACCAGUGGCGAAGGCGGCCUACUGGGCACCAACUGACGCUGAGGCUCGAAAGUGUGGGUAGCAAACAGGAUUAGAUACCCUGGUAGUCCACACUGUAAACGAUGAUUACUAGGUGUUGGGGGAUUGACCCCCUCAGUGCCGCAGUUAACACAAUAAGUAAUCCACCUGGGGAGUACGACCGCAAGGUUGAAACUCAAAGGAAUUGACGGGGGCCCGCACAAGCAGUGGAGUAUGUGGUUUAAUUCGACGCAACGCGAAGAACCUUACCAAGUCUUGACAUCCUGCGACGUGCAUAGAAAUAUGUAUUUCCUUCGGGACGCAGAGACAGGUGGUGCAUGGUUGUCGUCAGCUCGUGUCGUGAGAUGUUGGGUUAAGUCCCGCAACGAGCGCAACCCCCGCCGCGUGUUGCCAGCAUUGAGUUGGGCACUCGCGCGGGACUGCCGGCGUCAAGCCGGAGGAAGGUGGGGACGACGUCAAGUCAUCAUGCCCCUCAUGCCCUGGGCUGCACACGUGCUACAAUGGCCGGUACAGCGGGCUGCGACGCCGCGAGGCGGAGCGAAUCCCACAAAGCCGGCCCCAGUUCGGACCGCAGGCUGCAACCCGCCUGCGCGAAGCCGGAGUUGCUAGUAAUCGCGGAUCAGCAUGCCGCGGUGAAUACGUUCCCGGGCCUUGCACUCACCGCCCGUCA